rnacentral:rRNA from 1 species
CAUGCAGUCGAGCGAUGAAGCUUCCUUCGGGAAGUGGAUUAGCGGCGGACGGGUGAGUAACACGUGGGUAACCUGCCUCAAAGUGGGGGAUAGCCUUCCGAAAGGAAGAUUAAUACCGCAUAACAUAAGAGAAUCGCAUGAUUUUCUUAUCAAAGAUUUAUUGCUUUGAGAUGGACCCGCGGCGCAUUAGCUAGUUGGUAAGGUAACGGCUUACCAAGGCAACGAUGCGUAGCCGACCUGAGAGGGUGAUCGGCCACAUUGGAACUGAGACACGGUCCAGACUCCUACGGGAGGCAGCAGUGGGGAAUAUUGCGCAAUGGGGGAAACCCUGACGCAGCAACGCCGCGUGGGUGAUGAAGGUCUUCGGAUUGUAAAGCCCUGUUUUCUGGGACGAUAAUGACGGUACCAGAGGAGGAAGCCACGGCUAACUACGUGCCAGCAGCCGCGGUAAUACGUAGGUGGCGAGCGUUGUCCGGAUUUACUGGGCGUAAAGGGUGCGUAGGCGGAUGUUUAAGUGGGAUGUGAAAUCCCCGGGCUUAACCUGGGGGCUGCAUUCCAAACUGGAUAUCUAGAGUGCAGGAGAGGAAAGCGGAAUUCCUAGUGUAGCGGUGAAAUGCGUAGAGAUUAGGAAGAACACCAGUGGCGAAGGCGGCUUUCUGGACUGUAACUGACGCUGAGGCACGAAAGCGUGGGUAGCAAACAGGAUUAGAUACCCUGGUAGUCCACGCCGUAAACGAUGGAUACUAGGUGUAGGGGGUAUCAACUCCCCCUGUGCCGCAGUUAACACAAUAAGUAUCCCGCCUGGGGAGUACGGUCGCAAGAUUAAAACUCAAAGGAAUUGACGGGGGCCCGCACAAGCAGCGGAGCAUGUGGUUUAAUUCGAAGCAACGCGAAGAACCUUACCUGGACUUGACAUCCCUUGCAUAGCCUAGA